CCUACGGGAGGCAGCAGUGGGGAAUAUUGCACAAUGGGCGAAAGCCUGAUGCAGCAACGCCGCGUGAGCGAUGAAGGCCCUCGGGUCGUUAAGCCCUGUUCUUAAGGAAGAUAAUGACGGUACUUGAGGAGGAAGCCCCGGCUAACUACGUGCCAGCAGCCGCGGUAAUACGUAGGGGGCUAGCGUUAUCCGGAUUUACUGGGCGUAAAGGGUGCGUAGGUGGUUUCUUAAGUCAGAGGUGAAAGGCUAGGGCUCAACCGUAGUAAGCCUUUGAAACUGGGGAACUUGAGUGCAGGAGAGGUGAGUGGAAUGCGUGGUGUAGCGGUGAAAUGCGUAGAUAUUAGGAGGAACACCAGUUGCGAAGGCGGCUCUCUGGACUGUAACUGACGCUGAGGCACGAAAGCGUGGGGAGCGAACAGGAUUAGAUACCCCGGUAGUC
rnacentral:rRNA from 1 species